AGUGGACGCUGGCGGUAGGCCUAACACAUGCAAGUCGAACGGCAGCACAGUAAGAGCUUGCUCUUACGGGUGGCGAGUGGCGGACGGGUGAGGAAUACAUCGGAAUCUACUUUUUCGUGGGGGAUAACGUAGGGAAACUUACGCUAAUACCGCAUACGACCUACGGGUGAAAGCAGGGGAUCUUCGGACCUUGCGCGAUUGAAUGAGCCGAUGUCGGAUUAGCUAGUUGGCGGGGUAAAGGCCCACCAAGGCGACGAUCCGUAGCUGGUCUGAGAGGAUGAUCAGCCACACUGGAACUGAGACACGGUCCAGACUCCUACGGGAGGCAGCAGUGGGGAAUAUUGGACAAUGGGCGCAAGCCUGAUCCAGCCAUACCGCGUGGGUGAAGAAGGCCUUCGGGUUGUAAAGCCCUUUUGUUGGGAAAGAAAAGCAGCAGGUUAAUACCCCGCUGUUCUGACGGUACCCAAAGAAUAAGCACCGGCUAACUUCG
rnacentral:rRNA from 1 species